rnacentral:rRNA from 1 species
CCCUUAGAUGUUCUGGGCCGCACGCGCGCUACACUGAUGCAUUCAACGAGUUUCUUCCUGGUCCGAGAGGAAUGGGUAUCCUUUUGAAAGUGCAUCGUGAUAGGGAUAGACUAUUGCAAUUAUUGGUCUUCAACGAGGAAUUCCUAGUAGACGUAGUUCAUCAGACUGCAUCGAUUACGUCCCUGCCCUUUGUACACACCGCCCGUCGCUCCUACCGAUUGAAUGCUCAGGUGAGCCAUUCGGACUUUCAUCAUGCUGGUUUCCAGUUUUGAUGAAGGAAAGUCUUGCGAACCUUAUCAUUUAGAGGAAGGAGAAGUCGUAACA